AUUGAACGCUGGCGGCAGGCUUAACACAUGCAAGUCGAGCGAGCGGCGGACGGGUGAGUACUGUAUGGGAAACUGCCUGAUGGUGGGGGAUAACUACUGGAAACGGUAGCUAAUACCGCAUAACAUCAGAUGUGCGAAGGUGGGAUUAGCUAGUAGGUGGGUGAAUGGCUCACCGAGGCGACGAUCCCUAGCUGGGCUGAGAGGAUGACCAGCAACACUGGAAAUGAGGCACGUGCCAGAGUCCUACGGGAGGCAGCAGUGAGGAAUAUUGCACAAUGUGCGCAAGCCUGAUGCAGCCAGGCCGCGUGUAUGAAGAAGGCCUUCGGGUUGUAAAGUACUUUCAGUCGUGAGGCGUUACCGACAGGAGAAGCACCGGCUAACUCCGUGCCAGCAGCCGCGGUAAUAC
rnacentral:rRNA from 1 species